rnacentral:rRNA from 1 species
UUUGGUAGCAAUAUUAGAGUGAGUCGAGCGGCGUAAGGGGCAGUAAUACCUGGGGACGUACCCUUCAGUCGGGAAUAGCCACGAGAAAUUGUGGGUAAUGCCCGAUAACACUGAGAAGUCAAAGGCUUGCCGCUGGAGGAGCGGCCCAGGCGAUAUUAGCUAGUUGGUGGGGUAACGGCCUACCAAGGCAAAGAUGUCUAGCGGGUGUGAGAGCACGACCCGCGCCACUGGCACUGAGACACUGGCCAGACACCUACGGGUGGCUGCAGUCGAGGAUCUUCGGCAAUGAGCGCAAGCUUGACCGAGCGACGCCGCGUGCGGGAUGAAGGCCUUCGGG